rnacentral:rRNA from 1 species
UACGAAGGGGGCUAGCGUUGCUCGGAAUUACUGGGCGUAAAGGGAGCGUAGGUGGACAGUUUAGUCAGAGGUGAAAGCCCAGGGCUCAACCUUGGAAUUGCCUUUGAUACUGGCUGCCUUGAGUACGGAAGAGGUAUGUGGAACUCCGAGUGUAGAGGUGAAAUUCGUAGAUAUUCGGAAGAACACCAGUGGCGAAGGCGACAUACUGGUCCGUUACUGACACUGAGGCUCGAAAGCGUGGGGAGCAAACAGG